rnacentral:misc_RNA from 1 species
CGAUCCAGGAAUUGUUCUACUAAAAGGUUAUGGCACAUGGAAAAGCCAAGUCAUGGUUGGGUGUGAUGCUAAAUAUCGAGAGCUAGCCCAAGGUUAGAGCAUCAACUCUCCAACAAUAAUGUUGGCCUCUAUGAAAGAAAUUUUAUUCUAACAAUGCCUAAACCUUUUAGUAGAACAAUUCCUGGAUCGCUACUAAAUGACAAAGUGGAAUCAAAACAAGUGGCCCGCUUCAAAAACGCCAGUAUAGCUCCACAUGGACCACAACAAUACUAAACAUCCAGGCAAAUACAUUUUCAAGAAAUGUCAACAGGAACACUGAUACUGCACAUGAUUCUCUAUAAUUUUAUAUUUUCUGUUAAUA